AGCAGUAGCCGCGGGAAUACAGAGGGUGCGAGCGUUAAUCGGAUUUACUGGGCGUAAAGCGUGCGUAGGCGGCUUCUUAAGUCGGAUGUGAAAUCCCUGAGCUUAACUUAGGAAUUGCAUUCGAUACUGGGAAGCUAGAGUAUGGGAGAGGAUGGUAGAAUUCCAGGUGUAGCGGUGAAAUGCGUAGAGAUCUGGAGGAAUACCGAUGGCGAAGGCAGCCAUCUGUCCUAAUACUGACGCUGAGGUACGAAAGCAUGGGGAGCAAACAGGAUUAGAUACCCCAGUAGUCCCUGUCUCUUAUAC
rnacentral:rRNA from 1 species